rnacentral:rRNA from 1 species
CAAAAACAUCGCCUCCUGCAAAACUUACGACGUAUAGGAGGUCCUGCCUGCCCAGUGACUAUGUUAAAUGGCCGCGGUAUCUUGACCGUGCUAAGGUAGCGCAAUCACUUGUCUUUUAAAUGGAGACCUGUAUGAAUGGCAAGACGAGGGCUUAACUGUCUCCUCUUUUUGGUCAGUGAAAUUGAUCUACCCGUGCAGAAGCGGGUAUAAAAAUACAAGACGAGAAGACCCUUUGGAGCUUAAGACCUAAGACCAACCCUGUUAAGUUAUUAACUUAAUAUUAAAAAAACAAUUAAAUACCUGGCCUACGUCUUCGGUUGGGGCGACCACGGGGGAAAACAAAGCCCCCAUGUGGAAUGGGGUAUACCCUAGAUCCAAGAGAGACAUCUCUAAGCCACAGAACAUCUGACCUAAUUAGAUCCGGCCCCUUGGCCGAUUAACGAACCAAGUUACCCUAGGGAUAACAGCGCAAUCCCCUUUAAGAGUCCAUAUCGACGAGGGGGUUUACGACCUCGAUGUUGGAUCAGGACAUCCUAAUGGUGCAGCCGCUAUUAAGGGUUCGUUUGUUCAACGAUUAAAGUCCUACGUGAUCUGAG